rnacentral:rRNA from 1 species
ACCCGUUGAUCCUGCGGGAGGUUGCUGCUAUGAGGGUUCGACUAAGCCAUGCAAGUCAAGGGGCUCUUUAGGGAGCACCGGCAAACUGCUCAGUAACACGUCAAUAAUCUGCCCUUAAGUCUAGGAUAGCCUUGGGAAACUGAGGGUAAUACUGGAUAUGGGAUAAUUUCUGGAAGGAGUUUUCUCAGAAAGAUUACGCUUAAGGAUGAGUUGGCGGCUGAUUAGGUUGUUGGUGGGGUAAAGGCCCACCAAGCCGAAGAUCAGUACGGGCCUUGAGAGAGGUAACCCGGAGAAGGGUACUGAGAAACAGACCCUAGCCCCACGGGGUGCAGCAGGCGCGAAACCUUUACAAUGCACGAAAGUGUGAUAAGGGGACCCUUAGUGCUCAAGUUCUACUUGGGCUUUUGCCAAAAGUAAAAAUUUUGGCGAAUAAGUGGUGGGAAAGACUGGUGCCAGCCGCCGCGGUAACACCAGCGCCGCUAGUGGUGACCACAUUUAUUGGGCCUAAAGCGUCCGUAGCCGGUUUGAUAAAUCCUUUGUGAAAUUGUUAAGCUCAACUUAACAGCGUGCAGAGGAGACUGUCAAACUUGAGACCGGGAGAAGUAAGGAGAAUGCUAAGGGGAGCGGUAAAAUGCUAUAAUCCUUAGUAGACUACCUGUGGCGAAGGCGCCUUACUAGAACGGAUCUGACGGUGAGGGACGAAAGUCAGGGGAGCGAUCCGGAUUAGAUACCCGAGUAGUCCUGACUGUAAACGUUGCGAGCUAGGUGUUGCAUCUUCUUCGUGAUGAUGCAGUGUCGAAGUGAAGACGUUAAGCUCGCCGCCUGGGAAGUACGGUCGCAAGACUGAAACUUAAAGGAAUUGGCGGGGGAGCACAACAAGGGGUGCGGCGUGCGGUUUAAUCUAACUCCACUCAGAGAAUCUCACCAGAGGCGACGGCAGGAUGAAAGUCAGGCUAAAGGCUUUACUUGACGAGCCGAGAGGUAGUGCAUGGCCGCCGUCAGCUCGUGCCGUGAGGUGUCCUGUUAAGUCAGGCAACGAGCGAGACCUGUAUCCACAAUUGCUAACCGGCUUUUUUGAGCGACGGAGCACAUUGUGGGGACUGCCCGUGAAAAUGGGAGGAAGGUGCAGGCAACGGUAGGUCUGUAUGCUCCGAAUCUUCUGGGCUACACGCGCGCAACAAUGGUAAGGACAAUGGGACACAACCCCGAGAGGGGAAGUUAAUCCUCUAAACCUUAUCCUAGUCCAGAUUGAGGGUUGUAACUCACCCUCAUGACGAUGGAAUCCCUAGUAAUCGGUCUUCAUCAUGGACCGGUGAAUAUGUCCCUGCUCCUUGCACACACUGCCCGUCAAACCACCCGAGUAGUGUUUAGGUGAGGGUUAAUUUUUAAUUAAUUCGAACCUAAGCUCAGCGAGGAGGGUUAAGUCGUCACAAGGUA